UGGUUCGAUUCCGGCUCGAAGGAC
rnacentral:piRNA from 5 species